rnacentral:rRNA from 1 species
CUUUAUUGAAACUUCGGUCGAUUUAAUUUAAUUCUAGUGGCGGACGGGUGAGUAACGCGUGGGUAACCUGCCUUGUACAGGGGGAUAACAGUCAGAAAUGACUGCUAAUACCGCAUAAGCGCACAGGACCGCAUGGUCCGGUGUGAAAAACUCCGGUGGUAUAAGAUGGACCCGCGUUGGAUUAGCUAGUUGGCAGGGUAACAGCCUACCAAGGCGACGAUCCAUAGCCGGCCUGAGAGGGUGAACGGCCACAUUGGGACUGAGACACGGCCCAGACUCCUACGGGAGGCAGCAGUGGGGAAUAUUGCACAAUGGGGGAAACCCUGAUGCAGCGACGCCGCGUGAAGGAAGAAGUAUCUCGGUAUGUAAACUUCUAUCAGCAGGGAAGAAAAUGACGGUACCUGACUAAGAAGCCCCGGCUAACUACGUGCCAGCAGCCGCGGUAAUACGUAGGGGGCAAGCGUUAUCCGGAUUUACUGGGUGUAAAGGGAGCGUAGACGGAUGGACAAGUCUGAUGUGAAAGGCUGGGGCUCAACUCCGGGACUGCAUUGGAAACUGCCCGUCUUGAGUGCCGGAGAGGUAAGCGGAAUUCCUAGUGUAGCGGUGAAAUGCGUAGAUAUUAGGAGGAACACCAGUGGCGAAAGCGGCUUACUGGACGGUAACUGACGUUGAGGCU